rnacentral:rRNA from 1 species
UACAGAGGUCCCAAGCGUUGUUCGGAUUCACUGGGCGUAAAGGGUGCGUAGGCGGUCGGGUAAGUCUGGCGUGAAAUCUCCAAGCCUAACUUGGGAACUGCGUUGGAUACUAUCCGGCUCGAGGAAUGGAGGGGAGACUGGAAUUCCUGGUGUAGCGGUGAAAUGCGCAAAUAUCAGGAGGAACACCGGUGGCGAAGGCGGGUCUCUGGGCCGGUACCGACGCGUGAGGAGCGAAAGCCGUGGGGAGCGAACAGG